UUGCUUCCUAGUAGAGGUUGCCUCAGCAUUUCCUAGUGAAGGCAUCCAUAUUGUAACCAGAAUUGAAGACAAUAGGCCUUGCUGAUGCCUCUCAUAAUGAUGCCAUUGAUGUCUCACAGUCACGGGAAAUACUGCUUAUUUAAAUGGAUGAAGAGUUUUGAAAGGAUUGCAGUCUUGCCAAUAAUAUACCCUACUCUUUGAAGGCUUCUUAACAGAAUAUAUUUUUCCUAUACAAGUCAACAGUAGUCGAGUUGAGAUUAUUAAAAUCUGUAUUUUCCAGUUUUCAGAUAUGUGGCCAACAUAUCAUUUAUGGCUUCAUUUUCUUUUAAGGGAUUCUUAUUUUCACUCUUCGACUUUAUAAUAUUCACAAAAUAUAUUUAUAUUUCCAGAGCCUUUCAGUACCUUUGAAGUGUUAUUGUUAUCAUUAGCACACAGCAUUUUGCAGUUUAGUACAACGUAAGAAUGUAAUUCAAGGUCUAUUACUCCUCCAUAUCAUUUAGAAAAUUGUCAAAUAAAAUUAUACUCAUCACCAAACUUGGCAGUACUUCACUGAUCAGUUUCAUCUUGGUUGUAAUUAUUUUUCAUUUGUGUAUGCUCAGUAAUUUUUCAUUCUAUGCCUGUCCUGUACAGUAGUUUCACUUUUUAUAUUUGACUUAUUAGAAAUUAUGUUUUCUAUUUUCAUAUUUCCUAUUUCCAUAUACUACAUUACAUAUGUUGCUUUACACCUAUAUAAGUUUUUACCUAUAUAAGAUUUCAUCCGUAUGAUUAAUCUUAUUAAAUCACUUUUGUUGUUGUUCCUGCUUUUUUCUGAUUAUCACAAUAGUUCCAGGUACAAUUGUUGACUAGAGCAGUGUUGCAUACUGGUUCAUAUUUCCUUCCUGUCACAUAUGCAGCCUCCUUAAUCUUUGUUCCACCAUUUUAUAAACAUUUCCAGAAUAUUUACCAAGGUAAUUCUCUCACCUUCA